rnacentral:rRNA from 1 species
CUACGGGAGGCAGCAGUGAGGAAUAUUGCACAAUGGGGGGAAUCCUGAUGCAGCAACGCCGCGUGGAGGAUGACGCAUUUCGGUGUGUAAACUCCUUUUGUAUGUCAAGAAAAUGACGGUAGCAUAUGAAUAAGCACCGGCUAACUCCGUGCCAGCAGCCACGGUAAUACGGAGGGUGCAAGCGUUACUCGGAAUCACUGGGCGUAAAGGACGCGUAGGCGGGUUGGAAAGUCAGGUGUGAAAUCCUACAGCUUAACUGUAGAACUGCACUUGAAACUUCUAAUCUAGAGUAUGGGAGGGGGAGAUGGAAUUAGUGGUGUAGGGGUAAAAUCCGUAGAUAUCACUAGGAAUACCUAAAGCGAAGGCGAUCUCCUGGAACAUUACUGACGCUAAGGCGUGAAAGCGUGGGGAGCAAACAGGAUUAGAUACCCGCGUAGUC